CUCCUCUUGUGAUUGGUCCGUUCAAAAAUAACGCUAAGGAGUUCAGUCCAAUAACAGGCCAUGCAUAAGUGGAGAGAAAGGCUGGCCUUUUAUUUUUUUUUUUUAAAAAGGCAGAC